GUGUCUCUGCUCAGUUGCUUUCUCGCCGAUUUUUUCAGCGAUUAUUUGUUCCGUUGGUUCAGUUAUAUUCUUAGGCUAUGCACCUCCUCAUUCUUACUCCCACUGUAAAGAAAUAUAAGAGCAUUUAGAUAACUAAAGUAGUGAUCUAAACGCUCUUAUAUUUCAUUAUGGAGGGAGUACAAACAACAUGACGACCAUGAGCUUAGGCUAUGCACGUCUUAUUUCUUACAAACAACAUGAAGACCAUGAUCUAAUCAUUCUUUCCAAUUAAAGCCUUGGAGUUGGUAGAGACUGAACAAGUACUAAUCUUGAAACUGUGUUCGCUUACAGGUCACUCCUUUUUUCCUUCAAAAAUGAUGGCAUACAAUAUGCUCGAUGCGAUUACCAAUGGAAAGGAAUCCUGGAAAGUGAAGGUCAGAGUAAUUAGGCUAUGGGAUGCAUUAACCUCAACAACAAUGAACUUAUUAGCCUUGACAUGAUACUACUUGAUGAAAAUGUCAGCUCAUUGGUAAAAGAAUAUGGUUUUCCAACAUAGAUAGGUCACUAUGAGUUAUAUAUCGAUGCAUCUCCUCACUAUAUUAUUACUCCCUCCGUCCGGAAAUACUUGUCAUUGAAAUGAAUGUAUCUAGAUGUAUUGUAGUUCUAGAUACAUCCAUUUUCAUCCAUUUUGAUGACAAGUAAUUCCGGACGGAGGGAGUAUGUUUCAGGGCACACUAUGAUACACAACAUGGUAAUGAAACAUAUGGUUAACAAGUUUAGGCCACUGGUCCAAGAAUGAUGAUCACAUGAUGGAUUUUGAUGUUAUAAUAUUAUUAGUUUACUGCAGUCUCGGCAAAUUGAUUUUUGUUGAUAGAUAUGGUGGAACAGGAAAGAUGUUUCUGUGGAAAGCAUUUACGACAAAACUAAGGUCCGAAGGAAAGAUACUUCUAGCAGUAGCUUCAAGUGGUAUAGCAGCACCUCUUUUACAGGGUGGAAGCACAGCUCAUUCAAGAUUCCACAUUCCACUCAAGAUCACUAACGAGUACACAUGCGACAUCAAGCUAGGAACAUUUCUUGCGGAACUAAUAACGAGAACUUCGUUGAUAAUAUGGGAUGAAGCACCUAUGACACACAAGCACUGACAAGAGUUUGAGAGACAUACUUCGAUUCACAAAUGAGGAUGCCGAGCAUAGAACAUUUGGAGGAAUGACUAUAGUCUUGGGAGGCGACUUCAGGAAAAUCCUACCGGCUAUACCAAUGGGGAAAAGGGAACAUAUUUGUUUCCGCAUAUAUAAAGAGAUCCUACCUAUUGAAGAACUUUCAGGAGUACCGACUCACAAAAAAUAUGUGUCUGAAUUCAUCUGAAGGUAGUCCAGUAAAGAAAGCAAAGCCGGCGGAAUUUCCAAGCUGGAUGCAAAACAUCGGCAAUGGCGCAGCAACAACAACAAAUGAAGAAGAUUGGAUUAGCAUCCCAGAAGACCUUAUUUUACAUGAAGGAGAUAACCCCAAAGCAUCCAUUGUUAAUAGCAUCUAAUACCCUGACUUACAAAGCAGGUACACUCAUAGAACAUACCUAGAGAAAGAGCGAUCAUGUGCCCAAGAAACAAGAUUGUCGACGAGAUUAACACCCACAUCAUGAGUCAAAUCCUGGAGAAGAGGUAACAUAUCUUAGUUCAGAUACAACAUGCAAACAAAUGUCUACAGUGGAAGAUGAAUAUAUGUUGUACUCAGCUGAGUUUCUAAACAGUCUUAAAUUUUCUUGAAUACCAGAUCAUGAACUGAGGCUGAAAGUUGGAUUUUUCCAGUAAUGCUUAUGAGAAAAAUCAACCAAAGUGCGGGACUUUGCAAUGGGACAAGACUAACAAUAACAUAGUUAGGAAGGCAGUUCAUCGAAGGCCAGGUCAUAAACGGACCAAACGUUGCUGAGAGAAUACCCAAUAUCAGUGUGAUUUUGCUAUGACUAUUAACAAAAGUCAGGGGCAAUCUCUGAAAAAGGUUGGGCUGUAAUUAUAAAGGUAAAUGUUCACACAUGGUCAACUAUAUGUUGCAUAUACUCACAGCUUAUGAAGAGCGUCCAUUCGGCAGCGUUGCAAAAAACAUUAUUUAGAAGAAUUUAUUAUAGAUAUUUGAUUUAUUGCCGCUAUGAUUAGAACAAGCAGAAUCAUUCUUAUUUGUCUAAAUGUAAUGCGGACAUAGCUGCCUUUUCUGUUUAAAACUAUUGUCUCUGCAAUAUUAUAUUUGUGAACAAGGUACUUCUAUCUGCAUCUACAUCUAAACAAAAAUAUUGGUUUAAGGGCUCACAACUGAUUUGAGAAAACCAAGAUGCGAAUGUAUGCAUCGCCAUGUGUAGUUCAGACGAGGAGACAGACUCACUAAAGAUUACUUUAAACCAAGUCCUAAAGUUACAUAAGCAUAGACGAAGAAAGACCCUUUUCUCACUUCCUGUAUCUCUUCUUUUUUAGAUAGACCCAGCAAUUCAGAUCCAGUUUCCCAAAUAAUACGUGAUUCCCAAAUAAAUUAAUGAAACAAUUAAUUCGGAGCCGUGCUAUGCCAGCCCGCAGAACAGCACUAACCGUGCAAGCUAGCUCCAGGACACCUUCCAUCUGCCGCUGGAAGAGGAAACUCCGCUCGACGAUGCGAGCGUGGGAGCAGACUGCAGCUUCGACGGAGACGUCGUACCACACCACAAAGGGGAACGACCGGAUGACCGGCGCCCCGGCCGCCACUACAAUGGGAUUUGCGAGGGCACAUGUGCGGGCGUUAUCCAGGAGAGCCGCCGGCGCUCUCAUGGCGCCCCUCAGAUGGAGCGCAGUAGGCUGGAGGCACCGUUAAACGACGCCGCCGAACACACCGACGAUUUGUGGCAAAAUCAUCACAAAUAAAAA
rnacentral:lncRNA from 1 species